UAGGUAUUCUUUUUCUACUUAAUGGAGAGAGAGCACACGCAAAACAUACAUUUUAGAGAGAGAAAUCGGAAAAACCAGACCACAGACUCCACAAAACCCCAUUCUUCUCCUCCCCUCUCUCUAGCUUACUCUCUCCCUAAAACAUCAGACCCUCCCAUUCCCAUUCCCAUUCUUCAACCUCCACAUAUCUGUAUUUAUAUUUGUAUGUUGUAAGAGUAUAUAUAUACAUAUAUAUACGUAUAUAUCGUCCGUACAUGGAAGGGUCCAGUAAAUACGAUCGGAGGCGGAAGGGAGUCGCCGGGAGGCGUAACGGGGCUCGAAGGUCAUCCCCGGGUCGAUCAUUAUUCUAUUUGAUUUGAUUUCUAUUGAAAUUUUGCUAGAAUCGGGUUCAAUUUUCAAUUCAUUGAAUUUCGGUUGAAUUUUUGAGUGCAUGUGAGAUCGAUUUACUGUGAAUUGGUAAUGUUGAUUGUUUUUUCCAUUUCCUUUAAUUUCUAUUUUCACUCAAUUUCUGUGCAUUCAAUACAAAUUUGAGUGGAUUGGUUUGUGAUUUGGGUAUGUGAGUGUUUUUUCAAUGUUCAGUGUUUUUCAAA
rnacentral:lncRNA from 1 species